rnacentral:rRNA from 1 species
AGUGAACGCUGGCGGUAGGCCUAACACAUGCAAGUCGAACGGCAGCACAGUAAGAGCUUGCUCUUACGGGUGGCGAGUGGCGGACGGGUGAGGAAUACAUCGGAAUCUACUUUUUCGUGGGGGAUAACGUAGGGAAACUUACGCUAAUACCGCAUACGACCUACGGGUGAAAGCAGGGGAUCUUCGGACCUUGCGCGAUUGAAUGAGCCGAUGUCGGAUUAGCUAGUUGGCGGGGUAAAGGCCCACCAAGGCGACGAUCCGUAGCUGGUCUGAGAGGAUGAUCAGCCACACUGGAACUGAGACACGGUACAGACUCCUACGGGAGGCAGCAGUGGGGAAUAUUGGACAAUGGGCGAGAGCCUGAUCCAGCCAUACCGCGUGGGUGAAGAAGGACUUCGGGUUGUAAAGCCCUUUUGUUGGGAAAGAAAAGCAGCAGGUUAAUACCCCGCGGUUCUGACGGUACCCAAAGAAUAAGCACCGGCUAACUUCGUG